rnacentral:rRNA from 1 species
AUGCCUCUAAGUCGUGCCUCGACACGUGGGAGAUAUAGCCGCAUCGUGGGCGUUACAGAUGUAAUCUCUAUUUGCUCCUGGAAUGUACGUGGAUUAGGUGAUGACGACAAGUGUAACGCUAUCCUCUCUGAACUGCUAGCGAUCAACCCUCACGUGGCCCUCUUGCAAGAAACCAAACUAGAAUCCUACACCAACACCAAGCUCCGCUCUUUUCUCCCCUUCCACCUCGACCAAACUUUCUCUCUGCUCGCCAUUGGCACGGCCGGCGGCACCAUUACCGCCGUUAACUCCUCCUCCCUUCAGGUCAGCUUGCAUUCACACAAAGCCUUCUCCUCCACCGUAACUCUAAGGUCAACUACAUGUGCCUCCAACAUCGCCAUCACCAACAUCUACGCUCCCUCUACACAUGCCCUCAAGCAAUCUUUCCUAGAUGAGCUCCUCUCCAUCGCGCAACCUGACCAGGUGCCUUGGCUAAUCGUCGGCGACUUCAACCUCCUUCGAUUUCCCUCAGACAAAAACAAAUCCUCCUUUCGACAAUCAGAAGCUAACGCCUUUAACCAAGUGAUCCACAACUUAGCUCUCAUUGAGCUGCCUCUUCUCGACCGACAAUUUAUGUGGACCAACAACCGCGCCUCGCCCACUCUGGAAAGGAUUGAGCGGGCCUUUUUUAACUUACCAUGGGCAAAUGCUUUCCCCAACACCUCUCUGUCCUCUCUCACACGUUUUACCUCUGACCACGUACCGCUGCUCGUGCACGUCACCACUACGAUUCCACGUACCAACUUUUUCAAGUUCGAGCAGGGCUGGACCAAAUUUAGCGCAUGCAAUGACAUCAUCUCUCAGUACUGCUCAACCUCGCCCUCUCCGUCAGCCAACUCGGCUGCCACCCUCGCAACAGCUCUAAAAAAAUCAAGAUCUGAGCUCAAAACUUGGGCACGCUCCCGCAUUCCCACCCCUAUCCGCGAAUCACGGUGCAAGGAAGCCAUCUCAGCCCUGGAUCGGGCUGAAGAAUCCUGA